GCUGGGCGUGGUGGCGGAUGCCUGUAAUCCCAGCUACUCAGGAGGCUGAGGCAGGAGAAUCACUUGAACCCAGGAGUUGGAGGUUGUAGUGAGCUGAGAUUGCAGCACUGCAUUCCAGCCUGGGUGACAGACUGAGACUCUGUCUCAA
rnacentral:SRP_RNA from 1 species